rnacentral:rRNA from 1 species
UCUGCAGAGAUGCGGAAGUGCCUUCGGGAACUGUGAGACAGGUGCUGCAUGGCUGUCGUCAGCUCGUGUUGUGAAAUGUUGGGUUAAGUCCCGCAACGAGCGCAACCCUUAUCCUUUGUUGCCAGCGAUUAGGUCGGGAACUCAAAGGAGACUGCCAGUGAUAAACUGGAGGAAGGUGGGGAUGACGUCAAGUCAUCAUGGCCCUUACGACCAGGGCUACACACGUGCUACAAUGGCGCAUACAAAGAGAAGCGACCUCGC